AUCACUGUCUUCCCCUUCAUCAUCCUGCCUCAUGCGGAGCUGCCGUUCCCAGUCAACAUCGACGGUGUUAGCUUCGCGACUUCACAACAUAGAAACACUGCAUUACCCAGAGUUCACAGCGGGUGACAGUUGCCUUUGGACGAAGAGUCAGAGACAGGACAUAGGCUACAGUAUUAUACAACAUGUAGCUGGGCUUAUCAGACUCCCAGCACUCCCACAAAACACUCCUGGCUGACCCUCCACUGAUUCAGCUUCGCUCCACAAAUUUGGGGGAGAACUGUCCAAAAGGCCAUCCACUCAUCACAUGCGCUUAUCGUGAAUGGACAGUGGCAGAACCCAUCAACCCUCUGCACUAAUUAAGCUCUCCGUUCACCUGUCAAUCACAAUCAGCUGCUGAUGUUUCAGUGAAGAAAAAGUUAUCGAGAUAAAAGACGAGGGAAAGGACUCAUUGCUCAUCGCUGCAUUAUUGUGGACAUCGUCAUUGACUGCAGCAAUUUUUCUGGAUUCUAACUCACAUAGUGUCUGUUCACCUGGUUUCCUCCUCUCCAUGCGUCCAUGAGGGUGUCAGUAUUUGUUUUGUUCUGUUAUUAAUCCACUGUAGUCUGCAUUGCAUUGCCACAAUAAUGUUUCGAGUGACAAGGCACAAGUGAACAAAGUCAGAUGAUAACACAACAGAUGUAACUAAGGGCAUCUUGGCCUGAUGACUUCACAGCACUUAAACUAGUGUAUACAGUCAGUUUCUUUUACAGUAACAGUUAUGGUUCUCCUCUUGGUUAUGUAGAUUCAUGUUUUGUAUAUUUUCAGUAUCUCCUUGCAUCUUCUAUUCACUGUAGGAAAUCAAAAUGUCUUAUACUGAAAAUGACAUAGAACAGUAUGGCAUGAUGAUGUGGUUUGUAUGGCGUGCUUGUACGGUAUAUCCCCCCACUUAGUCCUUUUCAAUAUAGUAUCUUCAAAUCUUGUCUUUUUACCUGCCUAUGUUGCACUAUAUUGUCCAAAGAGAGUAUUAUUCUGUAUCUGCCAUGUCCUAGUUGUGAUGACAAUAAAGUUCUAGUUGACUUAAAUUUGAUUUGAAAA